GACCUUGAACAAAAACCUGUGUAUCCAGGUUUUCCUAUCUAUGAAGUGUGUUCAUUCUUUCUACCUUAUUUGGAAGGUCAUUAUGGAGAUUAAUGAUGGCUUUUCAGGGAUAAGUUCUGUGUAACUUCUUUUACCAGGAGAGCAUGAAUAUGUUGUCCUUCGGUGAAGUUAGCGCGGACUGAAGUGGCUCCACCAGCUACGCUGUCAGCUGUCGCCUCUCACUACACAGGGAGGUUCAGUGGAAAGAUUUUUGGGUGUGUCUGCCCUGUUUCCAGCAAUUUCCUGAGGACGAUCUCUAAAGGAGUCACUGUUUUUAAUUACUCCACGCAAUGCUGUCAGUCUGCAUUUAUUGUUUUUCCCAGGCAGCCACAGCCAAAGAAACAUAUUUGAAGUUGUGUCUCCGUGUGCAUGGGACAUUUCCAGCUGUACCACACAAACUCAAGUGGCAGAUGCUUGGAUAGCCUGCAGCAGCCUCUCCCCAGCUCAUCAUUUCCCUGAAGUGAGCACCAGCACCAGCCCAAUAGACCAACUGUGUUUUAGAAUAUGAGGCCCAGCCUUGACAUUUCCAGUGAAGUAAAGUUGGAAGGGACGACUCAGCGUUGACUAUGAUGUAACGAGAUGCUUCACAGUCAUGCUGAAAGAUGAAAAAUAUUAUACCUCUGGAAGCCUGAGGUUUGGACUUCCUUGUACACAUGCAGAGAAUCCUGCCUAUCUGACCCAGUGUGUGAUGUCCACCGUGCAUCUUGCUGUUAUCUAUUUGUAGAAUGAACAGAAUAAAAAACACCUUACAAAACCCCUCUUCUUAUUU
rnacentral:lncRNA from 1 species